UACAUGUGGGGCAAGCGUUGUUCGGAAUUACUGGGCAUAAAGGGUGCGUAGGCGGCUUACUAAGUCAGUGGUGAAAUCGUCCGGCCCAACCGGACACGUGCCAAUGAUACUGGUGAGCUAGAGUGCGUGAGGGGUAGGGGGAACGAGCAGUGUAGCGGUGAAAUGCGUAGAUAUUGCUCGGAAGGCCAAAGCCGAAGGGACCCUACUGGUGCGCAACUGACGCUGAGGCACGAAAAGCGUGGGGAGCAAACAGG
rnacentral:rRNA from 1 species